CAGUCGAACGAAGCACUUUAUUUGAUUUCCUUCGGGACUGAUUAUUUUGUGACUGAGUGGCGGACGGGUGAGUAACGCGUGGGUAACCUGCCUUGUACAGGGGGAUAACAGUUGGAAACGGCUGCUAAUACCGCAUAAGCGCACAGCAUCGCAUGAUGCAGUGUGAAAAACUCCGGUGGUAUAAGAUGGACCCGCGUUGGAUUAGCUAGUUGGUGAGGUAACGGCCCACCAAGGCGACGAUCCAUAGCCGACCUGAGAGGGUGACCGGCCACAUUGGGACUGAGACACGGCCCAAACUCCUACGGGAGGCAGCAGUGGGGAAUAUUGCACAAUGGGCGAAAGCCUGAUGCAGCGACGCCGCGUGAGCGAAGAAGUAUUUCGGUAUGUAAAGCUCUAUCAGCAGGGAAGAUAAUGACGGUACCUGACUAAGAAGCACCGGCUAAAUACGUGCCAGCAGCCGCGGUAAUACGUAUGGUGCAAGCGUUAUCCGGAUUUACUGGGUGUAAAGGGAGCGCAGGCGGUGCGGCAAGUCUGAUGUGAAAGCCCGGGGCUCAACCCCGGUACUGCAUUGGAAACUGUCGUACUAGAGUGUCGGAGGGGUAAGCGGAAUUCCUAGUGUAGCGGUGAAAUGCGUAGAUAUUAGGAGGAACACCAGUGGCGAAGGCGGCUUACUGGACGAUAACUGACGCUGAGGCUCGAAAGCGUGNGGAGCAAACAGGAUU
rnacentral:rRNA from 1 species